CGCGGCCUAUCAGCUUGUUGGUGGGGUAAUGGGCUACCAAGGCGACGACGGGUAGCCGGCCUGAGAGGGCGACCGGCCACACUGGGACUGAGACACGGCCCAGACUCCUACGGGAGGCAGCAGUGGGGAAUAUUGCACAAUGGGCGAAAGCCUGAUGCAGCGACGCCGCGUGAGGGAUGACGGCCUUCGGGUUGUAAACCUCUUUCAGCAGGGACGAAGCGUAAGUGACGGUACCUGCAGAAGAAGCGCCGGCCAACUACGUGCCAGCAGCCGCGGUAAGACGUAGGGCGCGAGCGUUGUCCGGAUUUAUUGGGCGUAAAGAGCUCGUAGGCGGCUUGUCGCGUCGACUGUGAAAACCCGCAGCUCAACUGCGGGCCUGCAGUCGAUACGGGCAGGCUAGAGUUCGGUAGGGGAGACUGGAAUUCCUGGUGUAGCGGUGGAAUGCGCAGAUAUCAGGAGGAACACCGGUGGCGAAGGCGGGUCUCUGGGCCGAUACUGACGCUGAGGAGCGAAAGCGUGGGGAGCGAACAGGAUUAGAUACCCUGGUAGUCCACGCUGUAAACGUUGGGCGCUAGGUGUGGGGGACCUCUCCGGUUCUCUGUGCCGCAGCUAACGCAUUAAGCGCCCCGCCUGGGGAGUACGG
rnacentral:rRNA from 1 species